GGGUUACCCGCUGAACUUAAGCAUAUCAAUAAGCGGAGGA
rnacentral:rRNA from 1 species